UUCAGCAGUGCCAUUGGGCUCUCCAUAAAGAUCUUGCUGCAAAAGUGUCCGAAAAGGUCUGGAGAGAGUCUAACUGAUUGCAUCAGAUCAGUCUGUGGUCUUGUCUGUAAAAACCUCGAUUCCCAGUAGAUGGCACCACCUGUUCCACUAAUGUUUUUCUUCUGGUUCGUGCAACAGAUUCUGAGACGGCAGAGCGAGAGUUUAGUGAGUGGGGCCCAGAAACCAGCGUGAGAACACAGUACGCCCCUGUCAACACAGGGACAUCACUCUGUUGGAAGAAGGAAGAUGCAGCAGUUUUGAAAUGAGCACAGCCAUGAAGAGGAUAACAGCACGUAGUGGCCGCUAUGGUCCGUGUGCCACAGGGAUCGCUGCAUAGGCAGGGCUCUGUCCUGUGCCCCUCAGACCCACUGCUUUUCAGACCUGUUCCUUGCCUGGGGGCACCGUGGGCUGCAUCGCCCUGCCUAUGAGGGGAUGAGAUGACAGCCCCAGGCAGCACAAGGCACCAUUUCUCCUGCAAAGUGCAGGCCUAAAAUUGUGAGUGGCUGGUGAUCAUCUCCUUAACAGUACUGGGUAAAUGACUUAUGCAAUCCUGGCUUAUCAGAAACAAAAGGUAGCAAGACUGAUGGCAAGUUCUGGACAAACAUGCAAAACACACAUUUCAUGACCAACAAGUCACUUUUAUUGACUGGAAAGAACUCGGGUCUCAUUUGGUUGUUGGCAGAACUACUGACAACUUCUGUAAUUACAGAAGAGUAUCCUGUCAAGUCCAGCUCUUGUCGGACUUUCUCUCUCAAGCUUGGAAACUUUAACACCUCUCUUAGGAAGUUUUAGCAGGAGAACAUCACUGUCAUAUGACAUGAAUUAUUUCCUUUUCUCACCUGUGGUGUUCACAAGACCUCCAAACACAUGAUCAAGACUGGUGAAUACCACACUGGGCAGCAGAGACAACAUGUUUGCUCUAUUUUAUUGCUGUAAAAAAACCAGAAGAGUUUCAUCCAGCAGUAGGAUUUUCUUAGAGACUAGAAUAUAACUGUUUUAUUUGAAGAACUGUGUGAUCUCAUUUUAAAGCCCAUGGGAGUUGAUGAGUCCCAAACCUGCUCUGCUGUUGCUAUUCAACUACCCUCACAGCCAGAUGCCUGCUGAGACUAGUGUCUGCUUCCUGUUUGCUGAGGAAAGGAUCCUGACUGGAGGAAGACUUCUGGCAGAAAUGUAAUUUCCAGGAAAAAGUCAGUAACAUAAGUUUUGAAUAAUAACCUGGCAUCGUUGACAUCACUUUGCUGAAGUCCUUGGAGCAGUGACUGGGCUCCCCUCCACACUUUGUUCCUAAUGGUGGAAGCUCUAUUUGUAUCAACAGUCCACAUUUGGGUUUAUGGCAUAUUUUCUGAUGUCUCUGUUUUACUCAGGAUCUUUCUGAUGGACCUAGCAGCUAAUUCUCUGUUUUCACAGCUUUUAUGGAGAUAGAUGAACAUUUGCCAGACCUAAGACUGCAAUUUAUGCAGUGCUGGCUUCGCAGAAAGUAAGACUGCUGUGCUUUUCCCCCUGCCUUCUCCUGGUCCAGAAACAGUGAACUCAGUCCUUGUGCUUUUAGGCUGGGAUUUACCACCACUCGGGGACUGGUGUCUUUUCCAUUUACAGCAGCUGGUGCCAACCCCCAUGGUUACUCAUGCACUUCUUUAAGUGUCCUUCCUUCGGACACCUGCCUGCUGUCAAGACAGACUCCUUUGUAUAGGAGACACAAUUGCUUUCUAGUGGAAACCCACUAAUCUCAUCUAGCUACCAACUGAGCAUCAAAAUUUUGACUUGGAUGAGCAAUCAUAGGCCUGAGCACAGAUCUCUGCUAGAGGAACAUAGUUAGUCCCCAGAUCCUGCUUGAUCAUAGGGUACAUUCUGUAGACAGAAUAGCUCUUACUGACUCAGCGCUGAUGAGGAUAAAAUGAGAGGCAAGAGGAUGGUAAGUACAUUUUGGUAAAAUUUGGGAAUGAAAUUACAUUGUCCCAGCAUCUUCUGUCUUUUAAGUUUGUAUAUCCUCUCUGCAGCACCUAGCAGAACCAGAGUUUUCCCAGGCCUGUGUGUCUCAAGAGGCAGAUAUAACCCCUUCCACGUUAUAGGAGGCCUGGCAUUUCCAUCCUAGUGCACCUCUGCCCUUUU